rfam:Plasmodium falciparum NF54 unplaced genomic scaffold supercont1.331, whole genome shotgun sequence.
UGACUCGUUCAUACUACAGUGGCCACACCAGAUCCCAUCAGAACUCUGAAGUUAAGCACUGUGAACUCUGAAGUUAAGCACUGUAAGGCUUGGCUAGUACUGAGGUGGGAGACCGCUCGGGAACACCAGGUGAUGAGUCAU